AAAAUGGACAAAAUGGAUGUUUGGGUAACAUUCCUCUCACGGGGCCUGUGUGCGGGGCCGUCAUUUGCCUCCCCCCGGUCAGUCUAGGCCGCUGCCAGACUCCUCCAAAGGCCCCCAUUGCAAUGGCAGAGGUCUUGGGGCGGGGGCGGGGGGUGACAAGCAGACGUAGCUAUUUAACCCCGCGUAAAGACAACGUGACCAGCAGGACUCAAGCUUCCAAUCCCUCUUUGCAGCCCUCUCCCGAGGCGAGCGCUGCGGCUGGAUCUGCUCUGCCCGGGGUGGAUUGAUUUUGUUUUUCUUGCUUCCUUCGCAGCCAGCGUUCUGAGCUUCCUUCUCCUAACCUAGACCCUGGGGCUCUGGUUUUUUCCCCCUCUCCCCUUCUCUCUGCUGAAGCGUUAAUAGCUUUGAGGGUAGUUGGUGUGUGUGGUACCUAAAUCAUUCAGGAUGCAGAUGUGGGGCGUGUAGGAGGUAAAUACCCUCCCCCCACACACACACUCACUCCCCGUUCAUCUUUUCUUUCUGGGGUUUUUCCCCCUCUCUCCUCUUCUCCUGCUCAUCAAUCCACCCGCUGACUGAUGCACCGUGAGAAUUGCUGGACCGCCUGCCUUUGCUGGCAGCCUGAAAGUUGCAGACACUCCCGGAGCGGGCGGCGGGGGACCCGGGCGCUCUGCUCCUAGGCAACCCUCCCUCCUUUAGCACCUCGGCCAAAAGUUCUGAACUUGGAAUAAAAGGGGGAGCGAGCCGGAAGAACAACCCGAGCCCCAGCCCAGCCCAGCCAGCGUUCAGAGCUGCUCGUCUCGGCUUAGCAAGUUGUCUUCUAAAUGAGAGGGACCCUGCGAGGCUGGUGCUCGCUGUAGAUUCUCUGCCGGCACUGGUGGGGGGGUUUCGGAUUAAACUGGGGCUUCCUCUGUGAUUUUUCCCCACCCACCCCCCAUCGAACUCAGUGUGUGUGUGGGGGGGGGAGGCGGACACCAAAGGCGUGAAAACAAAUCCUCCCUGCAGAUCAGGCCGAGCUCGGAACAAUGGACCCCAAUUCACUGUGGACAAUGACCGCUGGGUCUGCUGAUUGGAGUGCUGGACACGUUCACAGCGGCUCGGGCCGCUUUGGGGGACCGACAGCAACGGACUCCGGGCAGAGACGCUCCCUCCUCGCCCCUCGCUGGAGCUGUGAGAAAAUGUGUGUUGGGGGGGGGACGGGGAGUGGGGACGUGGCCGCAAAGUUUAGGAAAGAGUCUCUCCCCCCUCCCCGAUCGCUUCCCCGCCCCCCAUGGCUCAGCCCAGCCAAGCACAAGGAAGGAGCUGAACGGGUCUGGCGGGCCCCGGACCCUAGAACCUGCCGCGGGGUCUGCUGACCCGCCUGCAGCCUUUCGUGACGAGCUUCAGGCUGCGAUGGGCUUUUUCCAAAGUUUUUCUUUGGAAACCUGGUCAAAGAAAUUGCAAUUUGGGGGGAGAGGGGGUUCUCCCCCCCCGGCAUGUAUUAGUAUUUGGAAUCAACAAGGCGUGGAAGGGAGAGCAGGGAGCUCCCCGCCGCUCCCGGGGCAGGCUGAGACCCGCCGGAGGAGCCGCGGGAGUGGAAGCCUUUUGCAGAAGAGGAAGAAAACCAAACCACCGCCAACUCCGAGGGAUGCCGUUCUGCAGCAGUCCCAGCCAGGGAAGAGGGAUGGAAAGAAGCAUGCCUAGUUCAGGGGGGAAAUAAAGAACAUUUCAACACGCAGGCUUUGAAUUUAACAUAGACGAGAGGGUUCUGUUCUCUAAGCUGGAUUGUGACCUACAGCACGGCAUGUAAGAACUGCCUAGAUGCGUCUGUGCCUGCAACGCACGGGCAAGAUGCAAACUUUCCACAGGCAUCAAUGGGGACAGGAGAAAACAAACAGCCACUUGGCCCAGGGUCCGCCUAGAGACAGCGAGGGCUCAACAGAGGCAGGUUACGCUGCCCCAGGCCUAAGGUGGGCUGGACUUUUCCUGCCUAUGAGGAAUUGCCUGGUCAGGAAGAGGUUAAUGUCAUUGUCUUCCACCUGCAAUGCUUUGAGUGGCUCUAGAUGAUUGGCUGGCUUGGCUGUAUAAUCUUUUGCAAAGAUGAAAAUCUGGGCGAUCCAGAAGGGAAGGAGCUACCUUACUGCCCACAUGGAUGCAAGAGCCCCCUGGCUGUCUCUUGCAGAAGGAAAUUCUGCCAUCCCGCUUGCCUGACACCGUCCCAGAGGGCUCCGCCAACCGAUUCCAUCCACUUCCGGGGGUCAGGCAGCCCUGGAAGGCAACUCACUUAGCGACGGAGAUUCAUGCUGCACAUCUCACGCCACCACAACUGUGUUUCUCCAGGGGCGAAGUGGCGUGAUCAGAAGAUGUGAAGCUGGAUGACCGCGAAAGCCACAAGAAUGGCCCGUAUUUGCAAGAGGUUUCAUUUGAAGAUUUGUUUCGUUUCUCAAAUAAAAACAGUGACUAGCGUGUGGAAAGCGUCGAUGGGAGGAGAGGGGAGGGUCAUUUUUUUUGUAAAUGGC